rfam:Hordeum vulgare subsp. vulgare, WGS project CAJW01000000 data, contig: morex_contig_37134
UUAAUACUCCUCCGCCCAGAAAUACUUGUCCAAGAAAUGAAUGUAUCCAGAUGUAUUUUAGCUCUAGAUACAUCCAUUUUUAUCCAUUUAUGCGACAAGUAAUUCCGUAUGGAGGGAGUAUAAU